AUGUGUAGAGGUCGUUACAUUGGGGGCAGGAGUCCAGGUAGCCCUAACCAGGAGCUGCGGGUGGAUCAGGCUCCUGACGGGAAUGGAGUGGGAUUGUGACUGCCCAGGAUCACACCCCGAGCUCGAUGGUCCCAAAGCGUCAGACACCAGCUCAUCCGCCUUGCAGUCUCUCCCAGCUCAGCCUGGUGUUGGAAAGAGAAACAUGAAGGUCCCCACGGCAGAACAGUCACAUCCUAGAUGGUAGAAGGAAGCCAGUUUUCGGCGGACACAACCCAGGCUGCAUGCAUGCCAGGCGAGCGUGCUACCACUUGAGCCACAUCCCCAGCUCUCUUCACUGACAUUUGAUCCUUACAUCAAAUCCUUACCCUGAUUUUGAUCCUUACACAUUGUAUACUUGUAUUGAAAUACCACACUAUACUCCCUAAAUAUGUGUAAUUACUGUCAGUUAAAAAUGUAUUAAAAUAAAGCAGCACCU